CCUACGGGUGGCAGCAGUGAGGAAUAUUGGUCAAUGGACGAGAGUCUGAACCAGCCAAGUAGCGUGAAGGAUGACUGCCCUAUGGGUUGUAAACUUCUUUUAUAAAGGAAUAAAACGAGGCACGUGUGCCUUUUUGCAUGUACUUUAUGAAUAAGGAUCGGCUAACUCCGUGCCAGCAGCCGCGGUAAUACGGAGGAUCCGAGCGUUAUCCGGAUUUAUUGGGUUUAAAGGGAGCGUAGAUGGGUUGUUAAGUCAGUUGUGAAAGUUUGCGGCUCAACCGUAAAAUUGCAAUUGAUACUGGCAGUCGUGAGUACAGUUGAGGUAGGCGGAAUUCGUGGUGUAGCGGUGAAAUGCUUAGAUAUCACGAAGAACCCCGAGUGCGGAGGCAGCUUACUAAACUGUGACUGACAUUGAUGCUCGAAAGUGUGGGUAUCAAACAGGAUUAGAGACCCCAGUAGUC
rnacentral:rRNA from 1 species